rnacentral:rRNA from 1 species
CGGACGGGUGAGUAACGCGUGGGAAUGUGCCCUUCUCUACGGAAUAGCCCUGGGAAACUGGGAGUAAUACCGUAUACGCCCUAUUGGGGAAAGAUUUAUCGGAGAAGGAUCAGCCCGCGUUGGAUUAGGUAGUUGGUGGGGUAAUGGCCUACCAAGCCGACGAUCCAUAGCUGGUUUGAGAGGAUGAUCAGCCACACUGGGACUGAGACACGGCCCAG